UACGGGGGGGGCAAGCGUUGUUCGGAAUUACUGGGCGUAGAGGGCUCGUAGGCGGCCAACUAAGUCAGACGUGAAAUCCCUCGGCUUAACCGGGGAACUGCAUCUGAUACUGGAUGGCUUGAGUUCGGGAGAGGGAUGCGGAAUUCCAGGUGUAGCGGUGAAAUGCGUAGAUAUCUGGAGGAACACCGGUGGCGAAGGCGGCGACCUGGGUAGAUACUGACGCUGAGGCGCGAAAGCGUGGGGAGCAAACAGG
rnacentral:rRNA from 1 species